rnacentral:rRNA from 1 species
CUUUAAUAGGAUGUUACGAUUGUGUGAAUACAUAGCACAUUCGAGGUAGACGCAGAGAACUGAAACAUCUAAGUACCUGCAGGAAGAGAAAGAAAAUUCGAUUCCCUGAGUAGCGGCGAGCGAAACGGGAAAAGCCCAAACCAGCAAGCUUGCUUGUUGGGGUUGUAGGACUCCAAUAUGGUAGUUCUUUCAGAUAGUCGAAUGACUUGGAAAAGUCAGUCAAAGAGGGUAAAAACCCCGUAGACGAAAUGUGGAAGACACCUAGGAGGAUCCUGAGUACGGCGGAACACGAGAAAUUCCGUCGGAAUCCGGGAGGACCAUCUCCCAAGGCUAAAUACUCCCUAGUGACCGAUAGUGAACCAGUACCGUGAGGGAAAGGUGAAAAGCACCCCGGAAGGGGAGUGAAAUAGAACCUGAAACCGUGUGCCUACAACAAGUCAAAGCCCGUUAAUGGGUGAUGGCGUGCCUUUUGUAGAAUGAACCGGCGAGUUACGAUUGCAUGCGAGGUUAAGUUGAAGAGACGGAGCCGCAGCGAAAGCGAGUCUGAAUAGGGCGUUUGAGUAUGUAGUCGUAGACCCGAAACCAUGUGAUCUACCCAUGUCCAGGUUGAAGGUGCGGUAAAACGCACUGGAGGACCGAACCCACGUACGUUGAAAAGUGCGGGGAUGAGGUGUGGGUAGCGGAGAAAUUCCAAACGAACUUGGAGAUAGCUGGUUCUCUCCGAAAUAGCUUUAGGGCUAGCCUCGGAAUU